rnacentral:rRNA from 1 species
AGCGAACGCUGGCGGCAGGCCUAACACAUGCAAGUCGAACGAACUCUUCGGAGUUAGUGGCGGACGGGUGAGUAACACGUGGGAACGUGCCUUUAGGUUCGGAAUAACUCAGGGAAACUUGUGCUAAUACCGAAUGUGCCCUUCGGGGGAAAGAUUUAUCGCCUUUAGAGCGGCCCGCGUCUGAUUAGCUAGUUGGUGAGGUAAAGGCUCACCAAGGCGACGAUCAGUAGCUGGUCUGAGAGGAUGAUCAGCCACAUUGGGACUGAGACACGGCCCAAACUCCUACGGGAGGCAGCAGUGGGGAAUCUUGCGCAAUGGGCGAAAGCCUGACGCAGCCAUGCCGCGUGAAUGAUGAAGGUCUUAGGAUUGUAAAAUUCUCUCACCGGGGACGAUAAUGACGGUACCCGGAGAAGAAGCCCCGGCUAGCUUCGUGCCAGCCGCCGCGGUAAGAC